GGUUCUCUCCGAAAUAGCUUUAGGGCUAGCCUCAAGUGAUGAUUAUUGGAGGUAGAGCACUGUUUGGACGAGGGGCCCCUCUCGGGUUACCGAAUUCAGACAAACUCCGAAUGCCAAUUAAUUUAACUUGGGAGUCAGAACAUGGGUGAUAAGGUCCGUGUUCGAAAGGGAAACAGCCCAGACCACCAGCUAAGGUCCCAAAAUAUAUGUUAAGUGGAAAAGGAUGUGGCGUUGCCCAGACAACUAGGAUGUUGGCUUAGAAGCAGCCAUCAUUUAAAGAGUGCGUAAUAGCUCACUAGUCGAGUGACACUGCGCCGAAAAUGUACCGGGGCUAAACAUAUUACCGAAGCUGUGGAUUGUCCU
rnacentral:rRNA from 1 species